AGGACAAAAAUAUUAUUUGCUUAACAGCUAUGUCAAAUAUAAUUUACUAAAAGAGAACACAGAGUGCUUUGCCGAUAAAAUAAUGUCUUUUGUCGUCAGUGAUCAUCCGUAAUCGUGUUGCGAAAAAGGUAAAGCGUCCGCAAUCCUGUUUCACCCACGGUCACUUAUCGCGCAAGAGAAUUUCAUCGGAAGUAUCGCGGCGUAAUACCGGGCGAUCCGUUUAAGUGAAAACCACUCGUUAUAAUAUUAUCUCGGAAGUUUUGAAGUCUCUUCAACAGACAUUUUUUCACGGUUUAAAAAACGAGCAACGCUAAACGAUUGCCCCGCCGUUAUAUUCUGUCGACAAUAUUUGUUGUCGUUUUUAAUUCGAGGGCGAAACGAUUACCUACUUUUGAUUUCCAUACAUGACAACUUAUGCGGAAAAAAAAAAAAAAAAGGCCAUGAAUUUAAUUUGGAGUACAUGUUAAAAUAUAAAUGCAAACUCUGGCGUUGACGCUUUCGAUUUCCGU